rnacentral:rRNA from 1 species
ACUCAAAGGAAUAGACGGGGGCCCGCACAAGCGGCGGAGCAUGUUGCUUAAUUCGAGGCGACGCGAAGAACCUUACCUGGGUUUGACAUAUGGGGAAAAGCCGUAGAGAUACGGUGUCCUUCGGGGCCCCAUACAGGUGGUGCAUGGCUGUCGUCAGCUCGUGUCGUGAGAUGUUCGGUUAAGUCCGGCAACGAGCGCAACCCCUGUCUCAUGUUGCCAGCAUUUAGUUGGGGACUCAUGAGAGACUGCCGGGGUCAACUCGGAGGAAGGUGGGGACGACGUCAAGUCAUCAUGCCCCUUACGUCCAGGGCUGCAAACAUGCUACAAUGGCCGGUACAAAGGGCUGCGAUCCCGCGAGGGGGAGCCAAUCCCAAAAAGCCGGUCUCAGUUCGGAUUGGAGUCUGCAACUCGACUCCAUGAAGUCGGAGUCGCUAGUAAUCGUGGAUCAGCAACGCCACGGUGAAUACGUUCCCGGGCCUUGUACACACCGCCCGU